GGUUGCUACUGGCGCUGUAGCUAACUUCCAGCCCAGUGCUGCCGUGGGAAAAAAUCGGCGGCACAGUACACCAGGGAGGACACGCGAGCGGACGGAGGGAAAGAUCGUGGAGAGCACAACACUCACGAACCUAAAGGCCUAAUUAUAGUCCUGCGACUGCAACCGCGGAAGGCCACGCAGCUGCAUCGACGUAUCCGUUUUGGUUUAUGCUUCCUAAACGUGUUGCGCGUGUUGAAACGCAAUUCACCGCCAGAACACUAGGCGGAGUAACUUUUUUUUUCGAAAACAAAACACACAAAGAAGAGACGUCUUCUUCUUCGUCGAAUGUUUAUUUACAUCGCCACUCCGGCUCCUCAUAGCCUAUUUCUGGCGGACAAAUCGGCCAGUCAGUGACGGGUUAUAUAAGUGGUCAUACUUUCGGAUCUCUUCUGCCAAGUGCUCUUCUAUUUGGUCCAUAUUCGUUCUUCUAAAUCUUCCGUGAUUUCCGCGUAUUGUGGGGCAUGAAACUAGACUCCGGACGGGAUGUAGUCAGCCGACCAAUCACAAGCCUUGCGGGCUUCGUGAGGCUCGCGUCGUUUUGUCGUAUAGUUAGAAAAAUUGGCGGACGCACGCAAGCCGCCAGAGGGCUCGAAAGGGGCGUGUUGCGUGUCUUGCGUGCAUGCGUGCGUCCGUGCGUCCGUGCAACACGAGUAUAAUUUGGCCUUAACUUCCAGCUACAGCUGCUGCUACGGCCGCUCGUUCAAGAUACCGGAGUAUGUUGUUGUCAUAAUGUGCGGGACUAGAACGAUUAUUCAUUACCAGCCCUAGUUGGGGAAAUGUGCCCUUGUAUGCAUGACAGUAGUACAAACAUGAAUAACAUUGCUGCUUUUGGUGUUCAGGCAGGCACAUCUGUUCACGGUGCUAGGCUACAUCACGUAGCAUGCCAGACGGACCCACCACAGAUGCGCACACAUGGAACGCAGCUUUCUAUGAAAACACUGCGACCUCACUACAAAAGUACAGGCACACAGAAAACUGUGCUGCACUGAUGUCGGUGUUGGGACCUCAGCUGUAAGAGACCUCGCUUGGAGGAGGGAGAGGACAACCCAAGUUGUUCAAGUAUGGACUUCGGAGAGCCACAGGAUGCUACCUAUGAUCCUGAUGACUCAAUCACAGUCUUGACUGAGUCAGCAGAUGUGACAUUACGUGGAUAACCUGUUGGACCUCAUCUUUCACGAGGUUUUUCAAGACCCGGCCCCAUAUGUGAAUGAGGUGCUGAAGAUCUCAAAACCUGAGGACCUCUCUGCUAAGUAUGAGAAACCUGACAAGCAGGAAGUUAUAGCCAGCUAUGUGUCGAGUUUCUAUCAAGGGCAGGUCUGAACCCUGUAUAACUUCCCUGAGCAUCAGGGAAGACUCUGCGUAUCUUGAGCACCGAGCAGGAGGGCAGGACCACCCUGAUUCUCCGGCCCAGAUAGCCUCAACACCAGCUAACAAAGCUUCUCUACGACAAAUGCCUAUAACGGCUGAGCAAAGUUUACAUUGUAUUUAGAGAAUAAAGGUGACACACAAAUAUAAAGUGUUUCUUUGUUUACAGUAUGGCUACUGAUGGCACAAAUUGUAUUUUUGCAAUCAAUGUUUUCAUUAUACUUGGUAUUUUUUGUAUUUAUUACCUCUUUCCCAGCCAGUACAUUUAAUAACUAUUUUUAAAAAGCUCUGUGGCAUUCUUUCUAGCAAUCUUU